CAUAAAGUGCGGUUAUACAUGCAGUGAGCGGACAGAAGGGAGCUUGCUCCCGGAUGUUAGCGGCGACCGGGGUGAGUACACGUGGGUAACCUGCCUGUAAGACUGGGAUAACUCCGGGAAACCGGAGCUAAUACCGGAUAGUUCCUUGAACCGCAUGGUUCAAGGAUGAAAGACGGUUUCGGCUGUCACUUACAGAUGGACCCGCGGCGCAUUAGCUAGUUGGUGAGGUAACGGCUCACCAAGGCGACGAUGCGUAGCCGACCUGAGAGGGUGAUCGGCCACACUGGGACUGAGACACGGCCCAGACUCCUACGGGAGGCAGCAGUAGGGAAUCUUCCGCAAUGGACGAAAGUCUGACGGAGCAACGCCGCGUGAGUGAUGAAGGUUUUCGGAUCGUAAAGCUCUGUUGUUAGGGAAGAACAAGUGCAAGAGUAACUGCUUGCACCUUGACGGUACCUAACCAGAAAGCCACGGCUAACUACGUGCCAGCAGCCGCGGUAAUACGUAGGUGGCAAGCGUUGUCCGGAAUUAUUGGGCGUAAAGGGCUCGCAGGCGGUUUCUUAAGUCUGAUGUGAAAGCCCCCGGCUCAACCGGGGAGGGUCAUUGGAAACUGGGAAACUUGGUGCAGAAGAGGAGAGUGGAAUUCCACGUGUAGCGGUGAAAUGCGUAGAGAUGUGGAGGAACACCAGUGGCGAAGGCGACUCUCUGGUCUGUAACUGACGCUGAGGAGCGAAAGCGUGGGGAGCGAACAGGAUUAGAUACCCUGGUAGUCCACGCCGUAAACGAUGAGUGCUAAGUGUUAGGGGGUUUCCGCCCCUUAGUGCUGCAGCUAACGCAUUAAGCACUCCGCCUGGGGAGUACGGUCGCAAGACUGAAACUCAAAGGAAUUGACGGGGGCCCGCACAAGCGGUGGAGCAUGUGGUUUAAUUCGAAGCAACGCGAAGAACCUUACCAGGUCUUGACAUCCUCUGACAACCCUAGAGAUAGGGCUUUCCCUUCGGGGACAGAGUGACAGGUGGUGCAUGGUUGUCGUCAGCUCGUGUCGUGAGAUGUUGGGUUAAGUCCCGCAACGAGCGCAACCCUUGAUCUUAGUUGCCAGCAUUCAGUUGGGCACUCUAAGGUGACUGCCGGUGACAAACCGGAGGAAGGUGGGGAUGACGUCAAAUCAUCAUGCCCCUUAUGACCUGGGCUACACACGUGCUACAAUGGACAGAACAAAGGGCUGCGAGACCGCAAGGUUUAGCCAAUCCCACAAAUCUGUUCUCAGUUCGGAUCGCAGUCUGCAACUCGACUGCGUGAAGCUGGAAUCGCUAGUAAUCGCGGAUCAGCAUGCCGCGGUGAAUACGUUCCCGGGCCUUGUACACACCGCCCGUCACACCACGAGAGUUUGCAACACCGAAGUCGGUGAGGUAACCUUUAUGGAGCCAGCCGGAAUGCAGGCGACUGC
rnacentral:rRNA from 1 species